rnacentral:rRNA from 1 species
UUGGAGGGCAAGUCUGGUGCCAGCAGCCGCGGUAAUUCCAGCUCCAAUAGCGUAUAUUAAAGUUGUUGCAGUUAAAAAGCUCGUAGUUGAAUUUCGGGAUUAGUACGUCGGUCGUGCCUUAGGUACGUACUGGUGUUACUGGCUCCUACCUUCUGACGAACCAUCAUGUCAUUAAUUUGGUGUGGUGGGGAAUCAGGACUGUUACUUUGAAAAAAUUAGAGUGUUUAAAGCAGGCUCGCGCUUGAAUACAUUAGCAUGGAAUAAUGAAAUAGG